rnacentral:rRNA from 1 species
AACGAACGCUGGCGGCAGGCUUAACACAUGCAAGUCGAGCGCCCCGCAAGGGGAGCGGCAGACGGGUGAGUAACGCGUGGGAAUCUACCGUGCCCUACGGAAUAGCUCCGGGAAACUGGAAUUAAUACCGUAUACGCCCUACGGGGGAAAGAUUUAUCGGGGUAUGAUGAGCCCGCGUUGGAUUAGCUAGUUGGUGGGGUAAAGGCCUACCAAGGCGACGGUCCAUAGCUGGUCUGAGAGGAUGAUCAGCCACAUUGGGACUGAGACACGGCCCAAACUCCUACGGGAGGCAGCAGUGGGGAAUAUUGGACAAUGGGCGCAAGCCUGAUCCAGCCAUGCCGCGUGAGUGAUGAAGGUCUUAGGAUUGUAAGGCUCUUUCACCGGUGAAGAUAAUGACGGUAACCGGAGAAGAAGCCCCGGCUAACUUCGUGCCAGCCGCCGCAGUAACAC